UUUGAUGUAGAAUUAAGCACGCAGCUGUAUGACCUGAAUUUCCUAAUAAGCAGACAGUCAAUAACUGUAGAGGUAAAACUGUCAAUAGUUCUACGGCAGAUCACACAUGGAAAGUACACAACACCAGUGCCCAUUGAUAUACGAGUCAAUUAAAAAUAAGCAUACAUCGCGCCAUCAAGGGCAUUUAUUUAGCUUCUCUCACACUGUUUAACUUUGCACCGAUUCCUACAUUCAUGUUAUGUAUUGACAGAUAAACCGGUAGCAUUAUGUACAUUUUAGUACCCAUCUGUCCAUUCUCAUUCAUCAAUACCCAUAUACAAGCUGAGAACACGGCUCUUCCAUCUGUCCAUUCUCAUUCAUCAAUACCCAUAUACAAGCUGAGAACACGGCUCUUCCAUCUGUCCAUUCUCAUUCAUCAAUACCCAUAUACAAGCUGAGAACACAGCUCUUCCAUCUGUCCAUUCUCAUUCAUCAAUACCCAUGUACAAGCUGAGAACACGGCUCUUCCAUCUGUCCAUUCUCAUUCAUCAAUACCCAUAUACAAGCUGAGAACACGGCUCUUCCAUCUUUCCAUUCUCAUUCAUCAAUACCCGGUACCCAUGUACAAGCUGAGAACACGGCUCUUCCAUCUGUCCAUUCUCAUUCAUCAAUACCCAUAUACAAGCUGAGAACACGGCUCUUCCAUCUGUCCAUUCUCAUUCAUCAAUACCCAUAUACAAGCUGAGAACACGGCUCUUCCAUCUUUCCAUUCUCAUUCAUCAAUACCCGGUACCCAUGUACAAGCUGAGAACACGGCUCUUCCAUCUGUCCAUUCUCAUUCAUCAAUACCCAUGUACAAGCUGAGAACACGGCUCUUCCAUCUGUCCAUUCUCAUUCAUCAAUACCCAUAUACAAGCUGAGAACACGGCUCUUCCAUCUGUCCAUUCUCAUUCAUCAAUACCCAUAUACAAGCUGAGAACACGGCUCUUCCAUCUGUCCAUUCUCAUUCAUCAAUACCCAUAUACAAGCUGAGAACACGGCUCUUCCAUCUGUCCAUUCUCAUUCAUCAAUACCCAUAUACAAGCUGAGAACACGGCUCUUCCAUCUGUCCAUUCUCAUUCAUCAAUACCCAUGUACAAGCUGAGAACACGGCUCUUCCAUCUGUCCAUUCUCAUUCAUCAAUACCCAUAUACAAGCUGAGAACACGGCUCUUCCAUCUUUCCAUUCUCAUUCAUCAAUACCCGGUACCCAUGUACAAGCUGAGAACACGGCUCUUCCAUCUGUCCAUUCUCAUUCAUCAAUACCCAUGUACAAGCUGAGAACACGGCUCUUCCAUCUGUCCACUCUCAUUCAUCAAUACCCACGUACAAGCUGAGAACACGGCUCUUCCAUCUGUCCAUUCUCAUUCAUCAAUACCCAUAUACAAGCUGAGAACACGGCUCUUCCAUCUGUCUACUCUCAUUCAUCAAUACCCAUAUACAAGCUGAGAACACGGCUCUUCCAUCUGUCCACUCUCCUUCAUCAAUACCCAUGUACAAGCUGAGAACACGGCUCUUAUACUAACAAUACAUCUUCAUUACUGACUAUCGUUCAGUAAAAAACACUUUAUUUUACCACCACCUAUAAUGUUUAUAUAUUAUUACAAAAGUCAUCUUAAUAGACUGAAAUCAAAGUCAAAUGUUCGUGCCCAGGUCAGCUAAAAAGGUUAACAAAGGAAACUUAAAACAGCUUUAGUUGACCAAUUGUACAACAUUGUACCCAAUGACAACUUGUACAUGGUAUGAUUAUUUCAGAAACAUUAUAAAGAGUACAAUUAUUCUAAAGAUUGUAAAGUAAAGUUAAGUUAAUAAUUUAGUUAAUGGAUGGAACGAGAUGUUAAACAAAAUAGAUAGACACUAAAGA